rnacentral:rRNA from 1 species
AGCAGUCGCCGCGGGAAUACGUAGGUCCCGAGCGUUGUCCGGAUUUAUUGGGCGUAAAGCGAGCGCAGGCGGUUAGAUAAGUCUGAAGUUAAAGGCUGUGGCUUAACCAUAGUACGCUUUGGAAACUGUUUAACUUGAGUGCAAGAGGGGAGAGUGGAAUUCCAUGUGUAGCGGUGAAAUGCGUAGAUAUAUGGAGGAACACCGGUGGCGAGAGCGGCUCUCUGGCUUGUAACUGACGCUGAGGCUCGAAAGCGUGGGGAGCAAACAGGAUUAGAUACCCCGGUAGUCCCUGUCUCUUAUACC